rnacentral:rRNA from 1 species
UACGUAGGGUGCAAGCGUUGUCCGGAAUUAUUGGGCGUAAAGAGCUCGUAGGCGGUUUGUCGCGUCUGCUGUGAAAACUCGGGGCUUAACCCCGGGCCUGCAGUGGGUACGGGCAGACUAGAGUGCGGUAGGGGAGACUGGAAUUCCUGGUGUAGCGGUGAAAUGCGCAGAUAUCGGGAGGAACACCAGUGGCGAAGGCGGUUGCCUGGGGCUUUGCUGACGCUGAUGCGCGAAAGCGUGGGGAGCGAUCCGG